GAUGAACGCUAGCUACAGGCUUAACACAUGCAAGUCGAGGGGCAGCAUGAACAUAGCUUGCUAUGUUUGAUGGCGACCGGCGCACGGGUGCGUAACACGUAUCCAAUCUACCCAUGGCUCGGGGAUAGCCUUUCGAAAGAAAGAUUAAUACCCGAUGGUCUCGGUUUAAGGCAUCUUAGACUGAGUAAAGAUUUAUCGGCGAUGGAUGAGGAUGCGUCUGAUUAGGUAGAUGGCGGGGUAACGGCCCACCAUGCCUACGAUCAGUAGGGGUUCUGAGAGGAAGGUCCCCCACAUUGGAACUGAGACACGGUCCAAACUCCUACGGGAGGCAGCAGUGAGGAAUAUUGGUCAAUGGACGAGAGUUUGAACCAGCCAAGUAGCGUGAAGGAUGACUGCCCUAUGGGUUGUAAACCUCUUUUGUUUGGGAAUAAAGUUCGGGACGUGUCCCGUUUUGUAUGUACCAUUCGAAUAAGCAUCGGCUAAUUCCGUGCCAGCCGCCGCGGUAAGAC
rnacentral:rRNA from 1 species